UCAGGCCAAAUGUAAGCUGCACAAUGCACAGCGUCGCUCAGUUCUUUCAAUUUAGAAAAUGCACAGUUGCGCAUUUGUUGUCAUGUGAUCAACCUGCCACUUGCACAGUUGCACAAGGGCCAGCAACUGAGGACUACAUCAAUUUUUAAAAAAAGAUGCCAAGACAACCUGACCCUUCCUGUUCAAACUGCAUGUCGGUCAUGUUCAAAGGGCUGGAAGAUUCCUGUGUUGUCCUAGGCGGACUGCAUUCUUCCUUUGGACCGCUCUGUAAAAUUGAAAAGGUAGAAAAGACACCCCGGACCCUCUCCACAGUAUCGUAGAACUGACUGUUGUUAUCCUUACCCAAAUGCUUUACUGCAGAUAAUGUUAAGUCUAAUGAAGCUCCAUCAAAUCUUCCUUUUAAAAUUAAAAAUUAAGCAGUGCUUUUUCCAAGUAGAACAAAUUUCAAAUAGAAAAGUGCACUUACUUAAAUAAGCGACUUACUAUACAUUUCCAAUAAUUUGAUGGGAUUCAACUUAUCUGCAUUUUCCACUUUCAAAAAGGUCAUUGAGCCCAGGUCACAUCCGUGCUCUACAAAGAAUACUCCAAGCUCUAGUCAAACCUGAAAAAGCACAAGGAAAGCUUCCCCACACAAGCCCCUCCCAAAAGAACAAACGCAUACCAAAACUGUAUUCAAUCACAACAAGCUAUGCAUUUAUUAUGCAAAAAUAAAAUCCUUUACAGAUAGUUUACUCAUUGUAUUAUCAAUACAAGGCACAACAACUAAUUGCAAAGGAAUUGCAAUGAAUGGAUCUAGCAAAACAAUGAAUGUUAGGAUAAAUGUGAACACAGUGAGCUUACGUGAUGCUCGAUGUGCAAGGGAACUUGUACAGACAAUGAGUUAGAACUCCUGAUGGUCUUGGGUAUUGAAAGCACACAGGACACAGCACACUGAAAAACUGCAAAGAAAAACAAAAGCCUUCUCCCCACAAGACCCCAUUCCAAUACAAUGAAGCUGUACAGAACACAUACUGGUUUUACAGCAAGCAAUAUGAACUGCCUUAAAGAACUAUGAAUACAGUUUACAAAGUAUGGAUGUAAAUUUCCCAAAAAUAUUCAGAUACCGCAAGCCUGAGCAUGAAGAAUCCUUCCUGACCGGUAGUUGGACUUGUGGAUUUGAUUGGGCCUUUACUUACAAAUCUGCAAGUCAAACAUACACAAUCCCCUCCCACAGAGCAACUGCAAGUUAAAAGAAUUUCUAGUAAAGAGACUUGUUACCACAUUCUCUUGGGGAAAAAGCAGGCUCUGUACACCAGACGACUAGCUUUACGGUUGCUAUUCCAUAUGGCCAAGUCGACUUGAAUCCUGUUGGGUAUGCCUGGAUGUUUCCUAUUCAUGCCGUGUGAAGCUGUAAAGUCUAGGAAGAGACUGAUUAACUCCCCCACACCCCACCCACCCACCAUUAGGCCCCUAAAAAUAUAUACAACUUUCACAUUUUAUGUUACAAACAUGAAAAUAAAAUCCCUUACAUACAAAAUACCUUCCUAGACCUUGUUAAAUGACAGCUGAUGCACAUGAUCCUGAUCCGAAGGAAGGAAGCACUAUUGUACGCAAGGUGGCCAACUUGUAUAGAGUAGCUGUGUGCAACCAAGGAUUCUCUCCAUGGUGUGCUUUGGGGGGCAGGCCUGUAAAAAAAGAGAAACUCCAGACACUUUUAACACCCCCCCUCCCCUAACCCCCAAGUUGCCAGCCUAAGGAAACCAUUGCAACAAUUCUAUCAGAGCUAAUAAUGACUGAUGUACAGGAUCCUUACUCCACAUGUACACUUCAUGCAUUAACUCACUGCUGGGUUAAGAGGUAGGUAGAGCUGAUCUGUACCAAUGGGGGAGUCGAAGUACCGAAGGGCUGCUGAGCACACCCAAUUCGCUGCACAGAAGAUCACCCACACUCCAGAGCUGUAAACUUCUGUCGACCUAUCAAAACGACCAAGGAUUGCUUUUCCUUCCAGUAGCAGGGAAACGAUGGAUUGCAGUGGGUUGUAGUCCGAUUAAGAGCUUGUCCACCAGCACACUACCAAGGCAUUCAUCACAGUAGACACCCAAAAAUCACACGCACAAGGAGAUGACCACCGUACAACACGCUUUACACAGCUUGCCUGAAAAAAGGAAGAGAAAUCUGUGCAAGAAAUUUGGUUCUACAACAGUUGUUGAAAAGAACUUUAAAAGUCUAAAUGCCUGAGAACGUUACAGGGAUACCUCAAACCAGUAUACAAACCAAUGACCAGUUUAAAGUUGAAGCUAGAUCUGUGCGCCCAUCCCACCCUUGGCUCUGGCGUUGGCCUCUCAGCUACACUGCCCUGUGCCUCUGGCGCCCUCUGGUGUACGCUCGCAGACAGCUGAUCUCUGGAAACUUCUCUGCUCUGGCCUCCAUGCUCUCGUCCUGCCUGGCUCGACUCUGGUCCUCCCACGCCCUCAGGUCCUGUCCUGCCUGGCUCGACUCUGGUCCUCUCACGCCCUCUGGUCCUGUCCUGCCUGGCUCGACUCUGGUCCUGUCCUCCCACGCUGGUUCCACGAUCUUCUAGAACUAGUCCAUUCUGCCCUCAACUCAGUCCAUCAUCAGUCCAAAUCUUCGCUUUCUAAGCCAGUGAAGUAUAUAUAUCAUAGUAGAUAAGUUCAUUCAAAAUCAACUGAGGAUCUGAUUCUAUUUAUUGAUGAAGCUGACAAAAAAAUAUAAAAAAAUUCCACCCAAAAUGAUCAACUGUCAAAAAAAAAAAAAAAAA